UCCUUCCCAGCAGCGCAAAAUAAAAACAUCUCGAAUGCGGAGUUUUGUAGGACUACAGAGGAGAGGUGGCAGAGGAAAUACACUUUUAUUUUCUUUAAUCGUUUUGCAAAUGCUGUUUAAUUUCAAGAUCUGAAGCAAUAUAAAGACCUCAAAGAGAAAUGUAGAACAAGGAAUGUAAAAUGUGUUUUAUUCUAUGAUCAAAAUGCUUUCUUUGUCGCAACAUUUUGGUUUUACCUAAUGCAUUUUUUUAUUUCAAAAAGUACAUUUCUUGCAUGUAAUUCUUGUGAAGUGCGCAUUAGAUUUUUGUAUUGAAAUUUUGCUUGGUAUGUAGGCCUAUUUAGGCUUUCAUGCGCUGGUGGGAAGUGUGAAAUUGGGAAGUGCAAAUUUGUAAGUCCAACAUGGUUGUGUUCAAGUGCUUUUGAAAUCGGAACAAUUCUUAAACCAAUAAGAUUUUAACGUUGCCAAUAAUAAAGUUAGUUAGCUUAACAUAAAUGUGUAAUUAUCAAAGCGGAUUUGUUGUAAUCUUUUGGGUUGAAAAGGUGAAAGGUGAAACGUCACAACUCAGCAACGACAGAGACGGAAGAGGAAGCGAGACAUCCCACUCUUGUCGUUUUUUUCUGUUUCAAUGGAUGUCAGUGAACUAAGUAGUAGACAGACCCAGCUGCUAUCACUAUGGAAGAGCCAUCCCCAUAUUAAGUAAACUGGAACUGGCUAUUUAUUUCAGUGGUAAACGGCCUAAGGGAACUAUCUUCAAUUUUUCCACCAUCUUUGCCAAAAUUUCAUGCCAGUGUCCCACUUGCAAUUAUGGGCGCGUUUGAGUGGAAAGGCGAAUGCAACUGACUGUAGACGACAGUUGAGGACUGAGGUCGGGAGGGUGUAUCUGCGACAGCUGAAAAUCUGACAGUAAUGUGGUCUACCAACAGCAAGUCUCAGAUCAACAUGGCUCACUGAGUUGCUAAGGCAGAGGAAAAGAAGAAUCAUCUGCAUCAUCUUUUUUUAUUUGAACAUUUUAUUGUCAUUUUUUUUAAAUUGUUUUGAACAUUGAGGAAUGUUGAGUAAAUUAAUUGAAACCAUAA